ACCUACGGGAGGCAGCAGUGGGGAAUAUUGCACAAUGGGGGAAACCCUGAUGCAGCGACGCCGCGUGAAGGAAGAAGUAUUUCGGUAUGUAAACUUCUAUCAGCAGGGAAGAAAAUGACGGUACCUGACUAAGAAGCCCCGGCUAACUACGUGCCAGCAGCCGCGGUAAUACGUAGGGGGCAAGCGUUAUCCGGAUUUACUGGGUGUAAAGGGAGCGUAGGCGGUUCAGCAAGUCAGAAGUGAAAGCCCGGGGCUCAACUCCGGGACUGCUUUUGAAACUGUUGAACGAGAUUGCAGGAGAGGGA
rnacentral:rRNA from 1 species